AACGAACGCUGGCGGCAUGCCUAACACAUGCCAGUCGAACGAGACCUUCGGGUCUAGUGGCGCACGGGUGCGUAACGCGUGGGAACCUGCCCUUAGGUUCGGAAUAACUCCCCGAAAGGGGUGCUAAUACCGGAUAAUGUCUUCGGACCAAAGAUUUAUCGCCUUUGGAUGGGCCCGCGUUGGAUUAGCUAGUUGGUAGGGUAAAAGCCUACCAAGGCGACGAUCCAUAGCUGGUCUGAGAGGAUGAUCAGCCACACUGGGACUGAGACACGGCCCAGACUCCUACGGGAGGCAGCAGUGGGGAAUAUUGGACAAUGGGCGAAAGCCUGAUCCAGCAAUGCCGCGUGAGUGAUGAAGGCCUUAGGGUUGUAAAGCUCUUUUACCCGGGAUGAUAAUGACAGUACCGGGAGAAUAAGCUCCGGCUAACUCC
rnacentral:rRNA from 1 species